rnacentral:rRNA from 1 species
AACGCGAAGAACCUUACCUGGGCUCGAACGGCUUAGGAACGGCUGUGGAAACACGGCUUUCCCGCAAGGGACCUGAGUCGAGGUGCUGCAUGGCUGUCGUCAGCUCGUGUCGUGAGAUGUUGGGUUAAGUCCCGCAACGAGCGCAACCCUUGUCCUGUGUUGCAACUAAUAGGCACUCUCAGGAGACCGCCAGCGAUAAGUUGGAGGAAGGUGGGGAUGACGUCAAGUCAUCAUGGCCUUUAUGUCCAGGGCUACACACGUGCUACAAUGGUCGGUACAAAGCGCUGCCAACCCGCGAGGGGGAGCUAAUCGCAAAAAACCGUCCUCAGUUCGGAUUGCAGGCUGCAACUCGCCUGCAUGAAGCUGGAAUCGCUAGUAAUGCUAUAUCAGAAUGAUAGCGUGAAUACGUUCCCGGGCCUUGUACACACCGGUACUA